UGCAGGAAAGAACUAGGUGCUGGAAGGUUUAAAAAAAGCUCCAAGGGAUGAAACUGCAUAUUAUAUAUUUAAUAUUUAUACCUAAACUAAUUAUAUAAUAUCAUACAUUUGUUGAAUCAUGAAUGAAUCGACAAGAGUCCAUCUUCCAUUUAUGGAAUAUGAACCUACUUUUCGCACGCAAAUUGAACUUUAACCACACCCAGUCAGUAAUCACGUGGGACGUGACGCCGAUGACGUAUAAAUACGUCAUCACGCCGAGGUCCUGUCCUUUUUUCCCCCCUUCGCCGUUGAAGUUACCAGGAGUAGAAGCUCCAGCUCUCGGAACAUGCAGCUCUCAGCCGCAACGAGGCCUUUGGGUCCAACCGUGGACGAGCCGCCGUGAGCAGUUUACAACAAGAUGCUUCUGUCACUGGAAUGAGGCUAAUCAUCCAGCCCACGUGGUCACAGCCGACACGAUGAAAGGAUUGGAUAUCAGUCUAGUGUGGUGGAAGACUGGAGCAGAUCGUCUCUUCCCCCCCCCCCCCCCCGGAGGAGGGGGCCCGGUGAGCUGGCGUGAGGCCGUGUGAGAAGGGUCUUCACACUGCCACGCGAGGAUGUACAAGACGAUGCAAGGGAACAUAAGAUCAAGUAGACGAGGUCGUGUCACACCAGCUUUGAUGGACUCUGCUGCCACAUAUUAAUGAUAAUGAGUAGAUGAUCUGAAACGUGUUAAAUAAAGGAAACAUUGAACUGA